rnacentral:misc_RNA from 1 species
CCAAAUCUUUGUUUUGAGAAAAAAAAAAUGGAAAAUGAGAAUAAAAAGGGAUAGGUGCAGAGACUCAAUGGAAGCUGUUCUAACGAAUGAAAUUGACUACGUUACGUUAGUAGCUAAAAUCCUUCCAGAAAGGAUAACCUUAUAUACCUAAUACAUACGUAUACAUACUGACAUAGCAAACGAUUAAUCACAACCCGAACCUUCUAUUUUAUAAUACAUAUUAGUCUUAUAUACUAUAUACUAUUAUGAUAUGAGUAUUAGUAAGAGUAUAGGAUAGGGAUCUAUGGAAACCCUCUAUUUCUAUUCUCUAUUAAUUACUAUUAAUUAGAAUGAUAGAGAUCAAAAAAUCUAUCAAAAAUUGAAGAAUUAUUGUGAAUCAAUUCCAAUUGAAGUUGAAAAAAGAAUCGAAUUCAAAUAUUCAGUGAUCAAAUGAUUCAUUCCAGAGUUUGAUAGAUCUUUUGAAGAUUAAUUGGACGAGAAUAAAGAGAGAGUCCCAUUUUACAUGUCAAUACCGACAACAAUGAAAUUUAUAGUAAGAGGAAAAUCCGUCGAAUUUGAAAAUCGUGAGGGUUCAAGUCCCUCUAUCCCCAAGAAAAAGCCCAUUUUACUUCCUCACUCUUUCUUUAUCCUCAUCCUCUUUUUUUUAAUCAGUGGUUCAGUUCAAACAAAAUUCAAUAUCUUUCUCAUUUCAUUCACUCUGUUCUUUUGCAACUGGAUCCAAAUAGAAAUCCUCGUAUCUUCUUCCAAUCUUGUAUAGUACGAUACCUGUACAAAUGAACAUAUAUGUUCAAGGAAUCUCCGUUAUUGAAUCAUUCACAGUCCAUAUCAUUAUACAAAGAAAGUCUUCUUUUUGAAGACCUAAGAAAUUCAGGGGCUAGGUCCAAUUUGUUAAGACUUUUUUAGUUCCUUU